UACGAAGGGGGCUAGCGUUGCUCGGAAUCACUGGGCGUAAAGCGCACGUAGGCGGCUCACUAAGUCAGGGGUGAAAUCCUGGAGCUCAACUCCAGAACUGCCUUUGAUACUGGUAAGCUCGAGUCCGGGAGAGGUGAGUGGAACUGCGAGUGUAGAGGUGAAAUUCGUAGAUAUUCGCAAGAACACCAGUGGCGAAGGCGGCUCACUGGCCCGGUACUGACGCUGAGGCGCGAAAGCGUGGGGAGCAAACAGG
rnacentral:rRNA from 1 species